rnacentral:sRNA from 1 species
GGGCCCUGGGCAGCUGUAAAGCAUCUACCGGCACCUAGGGCAAAGCAGCCGGACAUACAGACUUAGGGAGCCGAGGUUUCAAGAUCUCCACUUUCAUUCACCUAUUGGAAAGACCCCUACCCUAGAAUGCCCGGAAAUUAACUGGAUGCUAUGCAGUGCAGAGUCAAAGGAACCGAUGUUGUACAUGAGGAACCGAGGGAAAGGAAGGAGUAAAUGGCUUUUACAUGUUCCUAUGAGAGUCCCUGAGAGAAUCAUAUCCUGCCACCAAGGACCUGAAGAUUCAAAGCCUGGAACUUUGAGGAGAUUCUGGACAUACCAGAGAGAGUCUUUCCAUUGUGUAGAGAUCCUUACCCCAUAUCUGCUGGAAGUUCAGAUUCCAUCAACGAAUGCAGCCCAACUCUUGUGUGCCCCUCACUGAAAGGAAGAAAUGAUCUCAGGGGCUGUGAGAGUGAGGAAUGAAUGGAGUAGAAGAAAUUACAAGGUAUGUUUCUCUCUACCCCAGCCCAGUGUACAUGAUCAACCAGUCCCAGAGUCUGAACUCAUCAUGGAGGGGGUAGGGAUGGAAAAAUAGCACUAGGAGUUAAAAUGGCUUUGACAGCAGGUAGGGCCCCAUAAGUGGAAAGAGGCUGAGUUUUAGUGAAAACAAGGACCCAAGAAAAUCCAGGAAGUAAGCAAAUCAAAUAGGCUGAAAGUUUAUGUAUUGUAUUGCUUUAGAUGCCAAAAUUUCCAUACAUAGGGAUGAAAUAGUUCCUGACAUUUCUGUUUGGGCAUUCGUGGGUGCUUUAUGUUA